CCUCCCAACCACCCGGCCUCCAUCCUCCUCGCCCUCGUACUCCUGAAAGCCCACCCAAUUUCUCUGCAGCUAGCCAAUUCAACAGAUUGGCCUGUUCGAGAGAGCUCAGUGCUUAUCAAUCUCCAUUCACAUUGCGCGGGGUGGGAUAUUGGAUCGAGCAUUCAUCCACAUCGAAGAAGCAAGUUUUUAGAAUCUUGAAAAUGGCACGGGCACCCCACCGUGAGCGCGCGAGAGAGAGAUGAGCGCCACGGUGGCUGCGGCGGCGGGCGCGACGGAGGCGCGGGCGGCCAUCUUCGGCCGCGCGGUGAACCCGACGGGGAAGCACGUGGCGACGAAGCUGCUACGGAAGAAGCUGGUCGGGGAGCAGGUCGCGCAGUGGUACCCCUACGACAUCAAGCGCGACGACCCGUGAGGAGAAGGAGCAAGUGGCCGCCGCCUCGCCCCUCCUCUCUCGCUAGUCCUUGGAAGCUUCAUGUGUUUGGGUGUGCAGUAUGUUGGCAGCACAAGCCGAGAAGAUCUAAAGUGAGAACUGAGAAGUUAAACAGUUGCAGACACGAAGUCGCGGACACUAAGGAUGUGGGAGCGGAUGGUGUGAAUUGAGAAGAAAUUAUUAUUUAUAGCAGGUAGUAAGCAUUGUAAUUUACCUGAAGUAAACUGUACAGAAAAUGGUGAUGCCACUUGCUACUGGUGAAGGAGUUACUACUGUAUAUGUAUGCAUCAGUGCAAAUUUCAAACUUGCACACAUACAUGCCUUUUUUAUUAGCUCCAUGCCUCCAACACAGGAAGUUUUGACUUGCAUGCAUGGUCUUGGAUAGAUUCUGCCAUAAUUAAAAGUUAAAUAAUUCUCUUAGAGGUGCAACUAUU